rnacentral:rRNA from 1 species
GUGAGGAAUAUUGGUCAAUGGACGGAAGUCUGAACCAGCCAUGCCGCGUGCAGGAAUAAGGUCCUAUGGAUUGUAAACUGCUUUUAUUCGGGAAUAAACCUCUUUACGUGUAGGGAGCUGAAGGUACCGAAGGAAUAAGCACCGGCUAACUCCGUGCCAGCAGCCGCGGUAAUACGGAGGGUGCAAGCGUUAUCCGGAAUCAUUGGGUUUAAAGGGUCCGCAGGCGGGCUAUCAAGUCAGAGGUGAAAUCCCACAGCUUAACUGUGGAACUGCCUUUGAAACUGAUGGUCUUGAAUUCAGUGGGCGUUGGCGGAAUAUGACAUGUAGCGGUGAAAUGCAUAGAUAUGUCAUGGAACACCGAAAGCGAAGGCAGCUAACGAUACUUAUAUUGACGCUCAUGGACGAAAGCGUGGGUAGCGAACAGGAUUAGAUACCCGGGUAGUCC